UUAACAUAUAUUAACGCCCCCCCCCUUCAUAGAAUGGUAUGUUCCACCUGUGGUUUCUGCUUGAAAAGUUUGGUUUUCAGCUAGCUAGCUUAAUUAAGGUAUAAAUACAGACUUUACUGAAGCUACAGACGUUGUAGUCUGCGUCCAUCGAACUACAUUUACGAUGAUGUAUUCUUCAGUCCCGGUGUUGGUGAAUCAAAAAGGAUCAGGUCAGCCCCCUACAAGGAGUGACGGGGUGAAUGUAAGAAGAUGUGAGUUUCCACUUGGGGGAGCUGUUUACACGUUACACACCGCGCUUUGACGACGAUGGUCUGCGUCUUCGUAAGAAUCUCCGGUCUUGAUGGCAUUAUUAAUGCAUGCCACAGUUCAAGGUGACAGAGAGCAAUGGUUCUGGGGUUUAGUGUGGUGCUCAGAAAGUAGAGCAGUUAAAUGCAGCGCUCUCACUGCCUCUCUGGCUGCUCCAUAUACAGCAAGUGACCCACUUUUUUUCUCCCAUCUUCACUGCCUGACACCAGGCUGUGUUUAGUAAAGGAGGGUGUGGGAUUUCUAGGUGAGGAACAGGAAACAAUCAUCCUUCUCCCUCACAGCUGACUGAUUUACAGAGCAGAUUCCCAUUGGGCGGGAGGAGGUGGAGGGAAAUUGGGAUCAGACCUCCCCCAAAAACGGCAACAGCAGCAGUACAACAGGGCUACUUGUGAUCUUGUCCAAGUGAGUCAUUCGCGAGCACACACACACAUGCACACGCGCGCAUAGCCAUGCUUAGACAAACAGUGUAAGUUGGCAGGUCGAGCCUCUCGUCUGUUUUCAAUUUGAAUUGCAGGGAGAGGGGAAAGAAAAAAAAAAAAUUGUACGACACAAUUUAUUUGGGUUGAAUUUUAUUGAGGCUGAUUCGAAUGAAAGACGAGUCCGGGACAUGAAGAAAGACACAAAUAAAACCUCAUCGCACGCACUCAAACAAACACAAACGUGCAGACGUUUAAAAAAAAAAAAAAAAAAAAAGGUAAUGAACGGAAAAUGGCACAGGACACAAGUCCACCUCAAAGUCUAAUAACAAUGACCUCCACUCAGAGCUUCUCCAGCUUGGCAGAGUGGAAAGAUUAUUACCUCGACUGACCUUUCAGCUCAGUAUUAUUACAAUAACACAUCCACCGUAUGGUUAAAGCCUCUGCAAAGCACGCAAAUAGCUUCCUGCCACCUGAUGAUAACCCAACAGUUUCACUUCAUUAAUUCAGCCUGACGCUGUGUUCAUGUUUGCUGGAUCCUUGGUGAGAGGAGGAAUAUUUUGUCUUGUUCAUCCCCAAAUAAUCCGAAGCCAAGUGACGUAUCUGUCAUGUUGGCAUUGUCAUAGAAAAACAAAAGCAGCUUCGGCAGCAGUUGCUAGGAGCAAUAAACAAAGUGUUUUUCACGAAGACCUAAGACAAAUGCCAGUUUUCAUGUCUCUAAAUUAACUCACAACAACCUGCUACAGAAUUCAGAUCUCAUUUGUGGGUGUAUCUUGAUAGCUAGCUGUCUGUAGGAUGAUGACCUCCCAGUUCUUCUCCAUUGCACUGUGUCAUGAGUUCAGGCUAGCCCUAUUAAGGGAUGUGUCAUGCAUUGAGUUCAAGACAAUCCCAAAUGGAUCCAUAGAAAAGCUCAGCGAAGCAGCUGUGGGCUGAUCUUUAACAGAGUUGGCACGGUUAACCACACAGACUGUAUAUUUGCCAAACCAACAGGAUAAUGUUAGCAUCUCUUUAGUAGAACUGAUGAAGUUUAGAUUCCAUCCACUCAGGCCACACUUGUUUCACAAACAUUAUAUUUGCCAAAAACAUCAUCGGUCAAAGAGGAAUUUUUCUCUUGUAGAAGUGAAGCAUAAUGUCUAAAAAUACAAACAAUUAAAGCCUACAUCUAACCACUGACUUGACGUCCAAGUACGUGUUUCCAACAGUAAGCAUCCAAAACGAAAUAACAUUUUCCAUUUUUACGAUAUUACUUGGACUGCGAAUUUAUUUCCAUGUCCUGUACACAAGUAACAGAUCUGAGACCUUCUGUUCCUGUAGCCUCAGUCUGAACAUAGAUGAUCUCAUCUCUAGUUAUAUAAUAGCAUCAUAAAAUUAGAGUUACUGAGAAAAAAUAUCAAAUUAAAUGAGUUACAAUUCAAAAUGUUGAUGAUCCAAAAGGGAUUACGUCUGAAUUUAUUCUUUUCAGUAAAAAGCUUGUGUGUUGAACAUUACGAUCAUUCUUUUUUGGGCAUAUUUGCAGAUCAGCAAAGUAGUUUGGACAGGUUUGAGUGCAGCACCAUCAGGGUAGAUGACUGACAAUGAGCUGUUUAUACACCUGGACUCCAUUCACUGGCAAUAUACUGUAUACUAUAUUAAUGUUGAGGGUUGUUUUCAGUUCGUUCUUGUGUUUGAAUUUGCACCAACUCUCGUCUGUGAGUGAUGGACAUGCAACUAUAUUUUCUUAUAAAAUCAAAGAAGGGCUAUAAAGUUAGAGUACAGUGGUAAUUUAAUCUUAAUCAGUCACAUCAAAUAGGGGAAAUUAAAAUGCACCUCUCCCCCAGCCAUGUUACUUACGUGUGUUUCAGACAGAACGAGCUGGAUUACAUUUGUUUGUAGGACUUCACAACUUUAUUGCCCAGUUUAAAAACGUUUCUGAGAAAAGUUAUCAGAAUAAACUAGUUAUUAAUUUGAUGAAGUGAUUCAAACGUCACAUUUUUAAAAGGGGAAACUAAUAACCUGCAUCCUAUUACGCCAUCCUUCUGCUGUCUGCGUGUUGCUGUUUUCAAAAUUCCCGUCGCUACGUGAAACAAACAGCCUGUCGCUAACAGUAAAAACCAAAACAAGCAUCAGUUCACUUUUUUUUGUCAGGAUUUAGCUAUUCUGAUGCCAGGGCCAACCUCCCCAUGUGUAGAGCGAGUUGCUGCUGACACCAUAUUGCAGGCGGAGGCGCCGUCGCUGCAUUCUGUGUUGUUCUGUGUGAUUGAUUAUGGAAUUUCUCUCCUACUUCACAGAUAAAUCUUUGCUCAUCAGCUACAAAUGACAAGUCUGCUUGUCAAACAGCCAUGUUUUUCAAAAUAUUAGUAAGAAUUUCAAGUGGUAGUUCUGCCAUUGCCAUCAGGAUAUGUGCCGUGCUAGAAGGGAAAGUUGAAAGGCGUAGCAAGAGCAUCUGCAGGAGGCAGGACUUUGUAAAGUGUCUGUUGUUUGGA